rnacentral:rRNA from 1 species
AUGUUCCGCGUUCGGCUAGAGAAUGACACCAUCAUCCUAGGCUAUAUUUCAGGAAAGAUACGGUCUAGUUCUAUACGAAUACUGAUGGGGGAUAGGGUCAAAAUUGAAGUAAGUCGUUAUGAUUCAAGCAAGCGACGUAUAAUUUAUAGACUUCCCCAUAAGGAUUCGAAGCGUAUUGAAGACUCGAAGGAUAGUGAAGAUUUGAAGGAUAGCGAAGAUUUGAAGGAUACCAAAGAUUCAAAGGAUUAG